rnacentral:rRNA from 2 species
UUGGUCGCCAACGAGUGGCGGACGGGUGAGUAACACGUAGGUAACCUGCCCAGAAGCGGGGGACAACAUUUGGAAACAGAUGCUAAUACCGCAUAACAGCGUUGUUCGCAUGAACAACGCUUAAAAGAUGGCUUCUCGCUAUCACUUCUGGAUGGACCUGCGGUGCAUUAGCUUGUUGGUGGGGUAACGGCCUACCAAGGCGAUGAUGCAUAGCCGAGUUGAGAGACUGAUCGGCCACAAUGGGACUGAGACACGGCCCAUACUCCUACGGGAGGCAGCAGUAGGGAAUCUUCCACAAUGGGCGCAAGCCUGAUGGAGCAACACCGCGUGAGUGAAGAAGGGUUUCGGCUCGUAAAGCUCUGUUGUUAAAGAAGAACACGUAUGAGAGUAACUGUUCAUACGUUGACGGUAUUUAACCAGAAAGUCACGGCUAACUACGUGCCAGCAGCCGCGGUAAUACGUAGGUGGCAAGCGUUAUCCGGAUUUAUUGGGCGUAAAGAGAGUGCAGGCGGUUUUCUAAGUCUGAUGUGAAAGCCUUCGGCUUAACCGGAGAAGUGCAUCGGAAACUGGAUAACUUGAGUGCAGAAGAGGGUAGUGGAACUCC